CUUUCUCCUUUUCGUAGGCGGAGACAGGGGGUCUAGACCCACCCCAUCGAGAAAUAGAGGAAGGGAGGAAAGGGGCCUCCGAGCAAUGGCGGCUGCGGCCGAGGACCGCGGUGCGCGGUGGAACGACCACCAGGAGGGGAAAGGGCAAAAGCCUGCCCCACCGAGGGAAGGGAAGGAAGGGCCUCUGGCCCAAUGGCGGCUCCGGUCGAUGACCGAUUACGGUUGUGGCCGAGGAACCACCAGGUAAGUGGUCUUCUCCCCUUCUUCUUCUUCUUCUUCUUCUUCUUUCUUAUUAUGGUGACCCUUUGUUGAAUUCCAUCCAUCACCGGGUCGAUCGGGAGGAGACGGAGACCUACCUUCGCUCUGAGGAGGUUCUGCAGCCACGAAUCCGGCGGCACAAAUGAGGGCACUGCGAGCCCAAGUAGAGGAAGGAAGACUGUGAAUUCUGCGAUCUCCUUGUGCUAUUCUAACAAAAUCAGAGCGCCUGCGAGGAGAUUCACCGGAAAGGAAAGAAGAGGGGUGGGGCUCCAACGAUGUCGCGCGGCCCUGCCCUCCCUUGCGGUGAGGAUCACAGCCAACUCCACCCAGCUAGUCCACGCCCAAAAACAAUAUCAUAUUCUUCCCUUCUUUAAAAAAAAUUUGUCCUCAAAAUUUGUAUACCCGAGUCUUCAAAAAGUUUCAGAAAAUUGCAGAUGCCUCGACGCACUUCAUCCUUGAGUUUCUAAGUUGCCUCUCUUUCUGAAUGGUUACUCUACUGAAUUUUCACGUGGGGAAUAGUGCUCUUUGUGAUCAAUGAUACACAAGGAAAACUCUUCAUAUAUCAAAUCUUCUUCAACUUGCAAUGGCCCAUACUGACUUGGACUCGAAACGUACUUUCUCAAUAAAAAAAGGACAAAUUUUAUCAUGCAA